AGAGGUUAGGCUUAGGCUUAGGCUUAGCUUUAGCUUUAGCCUUUGGCUUAAGCUUAGG
rnacentral:sRNA from 1 species